UCAAAAUUGAAACAUAUAUUAUUACAGUUGUUUAGUGACUACUGAAGUACAUUCGACUGUGAUUGUACAGCUAAGUGUUUGCUGACUUCCCUCUUUUUUAUUUCAUUGUAUUUUUCAUAAACAUUUUGUGAACAAAUUGUACGUUUACUAAUAUUAUAAUAUAUUUAAUUUUAUAAAAUAACUAACAGCAGGUUUAGAAAUAUUUGGGUUUAAAUUCGGCUCAGGAUUUAUAAAUUUUUGUUAUGGAAUGCAUAUUUAUGGAAAUUCUCAAACAAUGCUUUUGAGUGAAAGAAUAAAAAAAAUUUUAAGUGACAUAAAAGAUAAAGACGAAACGUUUAAGAAAAUGAUAGAAAAAGAAAAUGAAGCAGAUAUAGCACAAGUAGUUUUGGCGUACUAUGAGAAAAUCCGUAGUACUUCAGUCAGUUUGUAUGAUCUUGG